rnacentral:rRNA from 1 species
UACAUAGGGUGCAAGCGUUGUCCGGAAUUAUUGGGCGUAAAGAGCUCGUAGGUGGUUCGUUACGUCGGAUGUGAAACCCUGAGGCUCAACCUCAGGCCUGCAUUCGAUACGGGCAGACUAGAGUGUGGUAGGGGAGACUGGAAUUCCUGGUGUAGCGGUGAAAUGCGCAGAUAUCAGGAGGAACACCGGUGGCGAAGGCGGGUCUCUGGGCCAUUACUGACACUGAGGAGCGAAAGCGUGGGGAGCAAACAGG